CACUGGGCUAGCUGCAGGUAUUGCUGCUAAAGCCUCUGCACCUUCCAGGGGGCUGUGGUGCUGGCCAGGAGGGAAGUUGCAGGAUCUGCCUGCUUUGUUGUCAAUGGCUUUCCAGUGGACCCUACCUGGGGAAGACCUGUUCAGAUGUGGAAGUGCCAACGUGUCUAUUUACCGCCAGAGUCAGCCCCUUUUUAGAAGCUUUGACUACGCCGUUUGCUUCAAAGCCUUGUUCGAUGCAAGCAUGCCCGCCGCGUGGCUGUUUUAAAGGCAUGUGUACUAGCAACCUGCGCUUUGGAAAUCUCCUACCAGACGUUGGAGCUUUUCACUUUGUUCCUGCCGUAAGACUGUCAUUUGAGGAGGAGCUAUCAGGAGGCUGAAUCUGAUGCGUUUCAGCUUAAGCAUGAUCUUCUGAUGUGGAAUUUCCUCUGGAUCUGAAGUAUCACUCGGACAAAAAUUCCACCGCCUCGUUCCCAAGAUAUGAAAUGGAAAAUAAGAAUCAGUGCUUGUGCUUCAUCCAGCAAGAUCUGGUGUUGCAGAACAGGCAGCCGGUCGACAGAAGGAGCACGCACAGCUUCCAUUUUAAGUCAAGCCCUGAGCGAAUUCUGCGCCUGCUUACGCUGGUGUAAACCUAGAGAGUGCAUAGGAGUUGGUCCGAUUUGGCUCCGGUGCCUCCGAAUAGGAUCGGGCUCUUCAGUGUCAAGUCUCGAGGAAUGAAUGGGAUCUAGUGAAGGCUCCCAACUUAUUUGGUUUCUGGGGGUGUCAUGUCUACUAAGCAUCCCACCGCACCUCCCUGGCUUGGACCUUGGCACCCAAAAUCCUCCAAGUACGCAGCAGGCCUGGAUCUGUGCAGUAUCCGAGGAGACUUAGGAGCCUUCUUGCCGGAUCAGCUAGUCUCACCCCAACGGACCGAAUGGGAAUUUAGCUGGCUUGUGCACGCAGUUGUGCAUGCAGUCUAGCACAGCAGUUGUUUUAGUCUAUAGACACCAAUAUAUUCUCACAGGACAAUGAAUGCUUUCACUUUGCAUCCUACCUGGUCGUCCACUCAUCUCACUGCC